GUGAAGUGUUCGGAUUGCGGCGACGUGGGCGGUUGGCUGCCCGCGACGUUGUGAGAAGUCCACUGAACCUUAUCAUUUAGAGGAAGGAGAAGUCGUAACAAGGUUUCCGUAGGUGAACCUGCGGAAGGAUCAUUG
rnacentral:rRNA from 1 species